GAUGAACGCUAGCGGCAGGCCUAAUACAUGCAAGCCGGACGGCAAGUUGAGUAGCAAUACUUGACCUAGAGUGGCGUAAGGGUGCGUAACACGUAUGCAAUCUGCCCACAGCCGGGAGAUAGCCCUCCGAAAGGAGGAUUAAUAUCCCAUAGGAAGAUGAGAUGGCAUCAUUUUAUUUUAAACUACGGGGCUGUGGAUGAGCAUGCGGUUGAUUAGCUAGUUGGCGGGUAAGGCCACCAAGGCGAUGAUCAAUAGGGGACCUGAGAGGGUGAUCCCCCACACUGGCACUGAGAUACGGGCCAGACUCCUACGGGAGGCAGCAGUAGGGAAUAUUGGACAAUGGGUGUAAGCCUGAUCCAGCCAUGCCGCGUGCAGGAAG
rnacentral:rRNA from 1 species